CGCUUAUCAAGAAAGACUGAGGGAAAGGCCCAAAGACGUCUUAGCAACCUGUACAUCCGCAUAAUGUAAAAGGUGCUAAUUCCUGCUCCAUACCAGGAGAAAGAUAAACA
rnacentral:ncRNA from 2 species